GAUUUCUGGUUUGAUGUGCCUGUCCCAUCACGGUAACGUGUGUGAGUGACGGUGUAGAUCUGCCAUCCUUCUAGAUUCGGCAGACUACUCUUUACUGAGCUGGUCUGUCUGUUCUAGAUCUUUUACUUUGAAAAAAUUAGAGUGUUUCAAGCAGGCUUUUGCUAUGAAUACAUUAGCAUGGAAUAAUGAGUUAGGACUUCGGUUCUAUUUUGUUGGUUUCUAGGACUGUAGUAAUGAUUGAUAGGGACAGUUGGGGGUGCUAGUAUUCAGUGCGAAGAGGUGAAAUUCUUGGAUCCACUGAAGACUAACUUAUGCGAAAGCAUU
rnacentral:rRNA from 1 species